UUAAUAUAAAUCCUAAAUAAAAAUGAGAUAAAUAAAUAAAAAAGGCGUUAGAAAAAGUCGACAGUUUUCAGUUGGCCCAAGAAAAUUAUUAGGGCUUAUUCAUUGGAGCGUAAAUUCGGUGAUCAUGGAUGAAGUUCUUAAAUGGGGAUAAAGGAUCCGAGAUCGGAACCGUUGGAAGCAUCAAUCACAGCUGUCGCGAGUCAACGGUAGAUCAUCUGAAGAGGCAGAUUCAUCAGCACCCUUGCUGCAUCAAAUACGAUGGACCUUCCUUCCUUUGUUUCUCACUACUUCUUGAUUAAACCAACUGGUAAAUCCUUCCUUAAUUUUACCCCAUUUCUUUGUAUAAUCUAUUUGUCACGUAUAUAUUUUGUAUUUGUAUAUGUUAGGAUUGAGCCUUGAGGUCUGAUUGAGGAGGAAGUUAUAAAAAAGAACACAACAUUUUCCCAUCUCAGGGCUAUUCUGCUUCAUAGGCAAGAUGCAUUUUGGCUACAUUCGAGGCUUAAUGUCUGAUUGUGGAGGAAGAUUACUUGAGACGAAGCAAGUUACAAGGAACAAAUCUUUUUCCCCUUCUUCAGGCUAUUCCGGUGAGUGGAAAGUAGGAGUGGAUGUUGGGCAUGCCAGAAACUGUUGUCGUUCCAAAGUGAGUAUCCGAACAACUAUUCAGUAGGAAAUUGCAGGGAUCAGGCGAUUGAAUGAAGGACUGGAAUUACCACCUUCAAGGGUUCUUUUUGCCUUGAAAAAGGACUUUCGGACUGAAUUAUGACUAGUGGAAAGGAAAGCGGUAUUGAAAGUGCAGGAGUUCAAAGUAAAGUGCUGGAAAGUAGGAAUAAUAAGUGCAUGACUUGAAUUAAACAUAUUGAAGGUGCAUUACAUGAUGUAAAGAUAUUGAAGUGCUGUUUUGCUGUGUGAUUUGAACAGGGUUUGCAAAUGAAGCCUAAGUGCUCUAUUUAUAGAACUUUCCAUGCAUGCAUCAACUUGGUGUGGCCACUUCAGCAGCUUCCACGUGGAAUGACUCCGAACUGCCCCAUGUCCCAUGAUUCCUCAUCAGUUAUAACUUCUUCCAUCUCAUCCAUCUUCUGUUGUAGAUUUCAACCACGUCCUCUUUUAGUCUUCAACGAAUUUGUGUCUUGGGUAGUUUCAAAGUGAAUUCCCACGUGUCCUCUUUGUGACUUGGCAAGUGUCCCAUAAUUUUGUUCUUCUUCCUCACGCCGUCAACUUCUCUCCUUAACUUCAGACACGAUUUCACCAAC